GGCUCAGAACGAACGCUGGCGGCAUGCCUUACACAUGCAAGUCGAGCGGCAGCGCGGGGGCAACCCUGGCGGCGAGCGGCGCACGGGUGAGUAAUGCAUCGGAACGUGUCCUCUUGUGGGGGAUAACCAGUCGAAAGACUGGCUAAUACCGCAUGAGCUCGCGAGAGGAAAGCAGGGGACCCGCAAGGGCCUUGCGCGAGAGGAGCGGCCGAUGCCGGAUUAGCUAGUUGGUGGGGUAAAAGCCCACCAAGGCGACGAUCCGUAGCUGGUCUGAGAGGACGACCAGCCACACUGGGACUGAGACACGGACCAGACUCCUACGGGUUGGCAGCAGUGG
rnacentral:rRNA from 1 species